rnacentral:rRNA from 1 species
UACGGAGGGUGCAAGCGUUAAUCGGAAUUACUGGGCGUAAAGCGUGCGUAGGUGGUUCGUUAAGUCCGUUGUGAAAGCCCCGAGCUCAACUUGGGAAUUGCAGUGGAUACUGGCGAGCUGGAGUGCGGUAGAGGAAGGUGGAAUUCCCGGUGUAGCGGUGAAAUGCGUAGAGAUCGGGAGGAACACCAGUGGCGAAGGCGGCCUUCUGGACCAGCACUGACACUCAAACACGAAAGCGUGGGGAGCAAACAGG